AACAUAUUCCACUCUCUAUCCAACUUGUUAGAUUCUUCUCCUUUUGAACCCAUGACCAAUAACAUAAUAAAGACAGCCCUAUAUCUCGCUUUUUAUGGGUUCCUAUGUCCCAGUGAAUUUACAACUAUAACCAUUACAGCCCACGACUACCUAAGGACUAAUGAUUUACAAAAACAUACUGACCAUUACAUUCUAUCCUUAAGACAAUCAAAAACCAGCACCGAAGGACGUACUAUUCAAAUUCCUCUGUACCCUACUCACAAUAAAUGGUGCCCAGUACACAUUUUGGAUACUUAUUCCCUUUCAGUCCAAAAACAACAUCAACAGCCUUUGUUCGAACUGCAUGGACACACUCUGACCACAGCUAAAUUCAUGCUUUACAUACGACUACUGUUGACCAGGCUCGGCCUAAACCCAAAUCAUUUUUCAGGUCACUCUUUCCGUAUAGGGGCAGCAUCUUCAGCAUCCAUUAAUCAUAUACCAGCUCCCAUUAUUAAGGCUAUGGGAUUCUGGAAAUCCUCCGCCUACACACUCUACAUACCUAACCCCCUUAAAGAAUUAAGACAAGCUUUCUGUGACUUAUCUCAAUAAACGAAGUUGGUUCACGAAUUACGUUUCCUGGUAAUUUUCUUUUGCCCACUUUUAUUACAGGCCUACUGCUUUGGCGGUUCCGGCACACCACAACCGACUGGUGCUAACUCAUGGAUGUUAUGUUUAUAAUAUGCUAAGAUUUCUGUGUUCGGCCAUAUUGCCCUGACUACAAAUAUAUAUAUUUGGCCCUGGUUUGGGCACUUAAAAAGUUAAUCCCCUAUUUGUACGGACAGGAAUUUUCACUAGUCACCGACCACAACCCAUUGGUCUGGCUUAACCGGGUCGCAGGAGACAAUGGCAGGUUGCUGCAGUGGAG